GUUCAGGUACUGACUUCAAUCAAGUUGAGGAUUUUAAGUGAGAUCUUCAAUCAAGUGAAUCCCAUCUAACAUAGACUGGAUACAAUCCAUUCAAGACUUCCACUAUACUAACAUUUUCUUUCUACAGGACCCCACAUGACUAUCGUCAUCCCAUUUCAGCAGGAAGUAACUUGGAGGAUGCUACACUCCCUUUCCCCAUUGUUGUCACUUAGGACAAUGUAUAUACCUAGUUAGGGAUAGAUUCCUAUUGUUUAUAGUUGGGAUUGGAAGGAGGUGCUCAGGCUUAGACACCUCUUUCAGAUGACUUUAGGGUUUAGUUAAAAUAGAUAGUUAGGAUAUGACAUAAGCAGAUUGUAGUAUCUUCUUAUAUUUCACCUUUAUGAUUGUUAAUUUUGGAUACUUUACACUGUUAAGUUUUAAUCCUCUUUUAGACUAAAAGGGGAAUUGUAGGGGAAGCUGUAGCCAUGCCUACUUAGGGGCUGGCUACAGUGUGCCUGACCACGCUUGUGAGGGCGUGGUCAGGGUGACAUAGAGGACACUUUCAGGGGAUUGCGUUUCUCUUUUGGUUUCACUUUGGUACUUGCUGGACAGACUGCUGCCAUGCCGGUUGCUCUGUAAUCUGGCCUCUGACUCUUUGGGUGUCAGUCUCAUGGAUGUGGACAGAUUUCUGUACCUUUCAACUAAAAGCAAGAUGUCUACUCUGAGUUUAUUUUUAAGGACACCUUCCACUGGCAUCCUCUUCCUGCGAUCACAUGGCAGCUCUGAAGAGAGGAGGAAGAGCAAGAGCAAGAGAGCAAUUUCCUGCUUAUAUUCUGAGUCUGCCUGCUAUUUCACUUCCUGCCUGGAUUGAAAGACUUAUAUUUACUACAUUUCCCAGAAUCCUCCUUGACUCCUAGUCCCACUUAACUUGCUUCUUCAUUGGCCAACAGUACUUUAUUCAACAACCAAUAAGAUAAACAUACACAGAAGGACUUGCCCCAUCAGUUCUUGUUUAAAAGGCAACUCCCUGAAGUCCUAGGAAACAACAUUAUAACUUAAACCAAUGGUUUGCCAUUAAUGAAUUAUUUCCUUAUAUUAACAGCAUUUAAAUGUAAAUGAUAUAAAAAUUCUCUAAUAUAUAUAAUGUUUCUAAAUAAUUUGCUUUUUU
rnacentral:lncRNA from 1 species